GCGGGAUAGCUCAGUAGGUAGAGCAACGGACUGAAAAUCCGUGUGUCCCCAGUUCAAUUCUGGGUCCC
rnacentral:tRNA from 3 species